AUUGAACGCUGGCGGCAGGCUUAACACAUGCAAGUCGAGCGGGGUGAUGGUGCUUGCACUAUCACUUAGCGGCGGACGGGUGAGUAAUGCUUAGGAAUCUGCCUAUUAGUGGGGGACAACAUCUCGAAAGGGAUGCUAAUACCGCAUACGUCCUACGGGAGAAAGCAGGGGAUCACUUGUGACCUUGCGCUAAUAGAUGAGCCUAAGUCGGAUUAGCUAGUUGGUGGGGUAAAGGCCUACCAAGGCGACGAUUUGUAGCGGGUCUGAGAGGAUGAUCCGGCACACUGGGACUGAGACACGGCCCAGACUCCUACGGGAGGCAGCAGUGGGGAAUAUUGGACAAUGGGGGGAACCCUGAUCCAGCCAUGCCGCGUGCGUGAAGAAGGCCUUAUGGUUGUAAAGCACUUUAAGCGAGGAGGAGGCUCUUUUGGUUAAUACCCAAGAUGAGUGGACGUUACUCGCAGAAUAAGCACCGGCUAACUCUGUGCCAGCAGCCGCAGUAA
rnacentral:rRNA from 1 species